UACAGAGGUCUCAAGCGUUGUUCGGAUUCAUUGGGCGUAAAGGGUGCGUAGGCGGCGCGGUAAGUCGGGUGUGAAAUCUCGGAGCUUAACUCCGAAACUGCAUUCGAUACUGCCGUGCUUGAGGACUGGAGAGGAGACUGGAAUUUACGGUGUAGCGGUGAAAUGCGUAGAUAUCGGAAGGAACACCAGUGGCGAAAGCGGCUUCCUGGUCCAGCACCGACGUUCAGGCACGAAAGCGUGGGGAGCAAACAGG
rnacentral:rRNA from 1 species